GUUUGUGUGCAGAACUGUCAGUUCUCUAGCUUUAAGAAAAUUUCCUGUGUUUGAAAGCUGAGUGGUUUUAGUGCAUAUGAAGUACUUUAAUAACUCUAGUCCUGCUAAAGCUUUGAACAGCUGAUGAUUUUUAUGUAUUUAAUUUAGAAGCUGGGGUUCCACAGUGAUGAGAAGGGAUCUUCCUCUUUACUGACUGCUCUGAAGAAAGCCAAGGGUGCAGCAGAUCCCAGCUACAGUGAGGAAACGAGGGAGUUUUCUUCAGCAGCUCCAUAACCUGAUGUGAGCAAAGGUUCUCUUGUGAGGGUUCCUACUCUUAUAGAGCAGGAAGAUGUUAUGCACAUGUGGCAAAAGAGGGAGGAAGGGGGAAAUCUUUCCAAUCCCAGCUACUAAAAGGGAGAGUAUUUAAAUAUAGACAUUAGGUGCCCAACUACAUUUGGUUGCUAUUUCAGUUGUAUCUUACUGCAUCACCAUGCCAGGGAACUUCAGUGACUAAAACUGCAGUGCAUGUGAGAAGGUGGAUGUGGGUAGAGGUUCAGUUAAAUUGUUGCUUGCCUAACGUUUAUUGUGUGUCUUGUUGCACUGACAACUCCAGAGAGCUCCAGACCUGCCAAGUUUUCCUUAAUGAGAAUCUACUGCAGAAGCCUGGAGGAAAGAUCCAUACCCAAACAGCAGCAAUUAUUCCCUGAUGCUAUUAUACAGGUUUUGACUGCAGGAAGAGGUAGGACAGCUUGUGAAACAAACCUGUCAAAGUGAGCGUCCUACAGGAGAAGAGGGAGGAAUGUUUGCAGAAGAUGAAAAGGACCAGCUUGGUAAAGGCCAGGAAGGAGGGAGACCAGUACUUCACAUCACUGCUGCUGAACACAAAGAUCAUCAGCUCUGCAAACUUCAGCUCAAUGGUUUUAUGGGAAUUGAAGAGCAGGACAAAGAGGUAUUUCUCUGACAAUCAGUUACAGUUUAAUAAUUUAACCACUUGCAUAAAAUGAUUUGUGUACCUGAUGUUGAUAAGCACAGAGAGGUGCACUAAGACAUAGCUAGCAAGGAGAAUUUAUUUUACCAGAGAAAUGUACUGGGCUUGAUAUAAAGUGUGUGUGUGUGGUUAUGUAAAUGUUUAGGAUCACGGCUUCCAAGUUCAUACCUAACUGCAAAAGGUGGUUCAUGUUUUAUCUGUCAUUCCCUGAUAAGAGGAAACUACCUAUAAGUAUCCUCCCCUAAUUUUUGGGCCCUGCCACCACAAUCUAUGCCAUCUACAUGCUCCAAGAUACAGCUAUAAGAUCCUCAGUAUCAUCUGGUGAAUCAGAAUCAGAAUUGUGGAAAAAUUGUGGCUUAAGUGUUACAGCAAAUUCCGCUAUGCAUGUAGCAGUGAUGUUGUAUGCCGUGUUCCUGGUGUCGUUUAUUUCUGGGUGUGAUUCCAGGGUUUGAUGAAGGAGCUAAAAUACCAAGGAGCUUCUGGAUCUCAGUUAAUCUGAGAGCUCAUCUUUGUGUUUGUCAUGGGAGAUGGUGAUCAACUGGGUCAUCGAAAUUGCUUCUUUGGGUUUUUUCUUCCCUUCAGUGAAACUUCUGAGUGGAUGACAAGUGUUUUGAAGGCCAUAUAGGAAUCUGUUUGUCCAGAUGUUCUUCAGAGUCCAGAUGUUUGCAAAGUCUCAAGUGGCUGUGGGAAAGCAUGUGGAUGACCCUUAUUAGUAGCUCUGUUCAGCAGCAGAGAGCAGAAGUUGUUUUAAGUCUUUUGCUUGUGACAGUGUGUUCUUCUAGUGGUUUGAGAGCCCAGGUGGGUGCUAUUUUAAUGUUGUCAACAAUUUAAGUACUUCUAAUAUAUAAACAUAUACUUUAAACUGGAACAGCAGAAGUUGAUGAUGUGCUACAUAUUUCACUAGCUUAAUUAACGGACAGCCCACAUAUCAUGUAACAUUAUUUCAUAUAGCGUAAUCCAUAUUUCUGCAACCAUGCAAGAUAUCAAAUAAUAUGUCAUAAAAUGUCCUAAAAGAUAUGAGAGAAUCAUCCCAUUAACCUGUGACAUAGACUGGAUAUUUUUCUGGUAGCUCAUCCAGAAAACUAAAGCGGUUGAAACAGAAACUGUCGACACUAAAAGAAUGUUUGAGUAAAUAGUAACGCAGAAUUCCUUUCAUAACUCGCUUUUGUUUACUGCUAAAUUCUAUCUUCACAUCAUAAACAUAAUUAAUUAGUAAACAUCCAGCAGCAUUUUUUUGCAGUGGCUUGGUUUGAACAUAUUUACCUUCUACAUUUACUAAAUAAAUGUUUAGAUUUUGCUGUACAUAUAGGUAAGAGUGAAGGAAGAGAAUUGUAUAUCAAUGUACAGCAUGUCUGAGAUUUCUUAAUAGCAGGGGCAGUUGCUACCACCUUUAUCCUGGUCUCUUUUAGUUUCUGAGCAAUUUUAAUUUGCCACUGCAAAAGAAAUACAAAAUCCUUUGUCCAAUGCUAGGUUGUCUCUUCAACAAGCAUAAGCAGAGAAAAAAUAGUUCCUAUCUGUGGUAGACAAACAAGAAAAACUGAAAAAUCAAACUACUCCUUUCUUUUGCCAGUAUCUCAUAGUAUUUCACUGUACAUCUAUGUUUCACCUGUAUAUUAAGUGUCUGUCUGGAAGUUUUCAGAUUAAAUUCUUGAAUGGUGCCAUUGGAAUGGUCAAAUGGACUGUUUUGUAAUUUGCAGAAUCCACCACUUUGCUUGAUGAUAAAAAUCAGCCAAAAUUAUUAGACUGCUGUUACUGUGCUGAUCACACACAAAUACAGCAUCUCCUGUACUAGUUUAAAUACUUCUAUGUACCUUUAGAAGGAUAAUGCAUAUUUACACACAAUAUAAAAACUACUGUAAUUGAUUUAACUAUGUAUUUCAAGUAGCAUCUGUCACAUUUUGUGUCAAUGUUACAUUUCAGCUGUAAACACAGAUUGGUACUAGGAAAUCUUA